UUUCCCUGUUUUCCAGGAAGCUCCCAGUUUCUGGUUGCUUUUUGGUGCUGGUAGAAUUGCAUAAAUACCCACCACAAGUAUCUGUCUGAAGACCAGGGUUAAGACGAGGGUUAAGAUUAACUUAUACUGAAUAACUAGGAUUAGGGAGCAUAAACUCUGUGACUGGUGCUUCACCAUUGUAUUUUUUCUUGUGGGUUUCUGGCCUUACUAAACACAUGGCUGGACUGAUCUUGUGGUGUAACUAUGUUGCAAAGUUAACCUUGAAUAGUGUUGCGAAAUAUUUAGCUUAGUAAUUUUUGUCUGGUAGCUUUGCGGUAGACCCCAUUAACUGCUUUGAUUUGCUGUGAGCUUUGUUGUAGCUUGGUUCCCUCUUCGUUGGUGUCUUGGACAUUUUGGUUAGCGUGGAAGUUUUUGUUUGUAGGAACCUUGUUGUGUGUUACUGUGGUUGAUGCUCAUACUUUAAUUCCAGCUUUGGUUGUCUAUUGCUGGAGUUUUGGCAAUGCAAUGUUGUGUUGGUGUGUAUGUGGUGUUGGGCAGUUCUGAUGAGAUCUGGUGCUCAUUUAGGUAGCAACGAUUAGAUUUUCACUUGCUGUUCCUAGGGUAAUUGAUUUUUUUGCUUUGUUUUGUCUCCCCCUUGUUGAAUCAAUUUGCAAGGAUAGAUUUGCUAUCUAGAGCAGAUACUACUUGGACUACACAGUCACGUGGUUAUUGUUUGUGGGCCUGGUUGUGUGGUUGCCAUUUUAAUAAAUGGAGAUGUUUUAAUCUUGCCUUCUGUUAUUGCUUUUUCUCUUUCCAGAAUAAUUCGAGAUGCCAACAAGGAGCCUUCAUGUUUUUUGUUUGUGUUUGGUUUUGCUUUGUUGUUGUUGUUUGUUUUUUUUGUUUUGUUUUUUUAUUUGGGUGGGGGGGGGGUAAACUAGUAAACUACUUGGUUGAACUCCCUCCUUGUCUCCUACUUUAAGCCAGUUUGUGAUAACUAUGGCAUUUAACGAUGUGUAGUUGCCACUAAGGAGGCCAACAUGUGCCAAGAAAAUAUCAGUGGACCACUAUUAGCAGCCUGAUAAAAAGCAGGAAGGAUCCACGCUUCCAUGCUGUUUGCACUAAAAUUCUGAAACUACCAUCCAAAUGUUGCAUUAGAAAUCUAGACUUAUCAGACCAGGCAAUGCUUUCCAAUCUUCUAUUCUCCAAUUUUGGCAAGUCUGUGCAAACUGUAGCCUCAGUUUCCUGUUUGACAGGUUCAGAGAUGCUCUUCUGCAUACCUUGUCGUGUAAGAGGUGGUUAUCUGAGUUACUAUUUCCUUCCUAUCAACCCAAAGCAGUGUUGCCAUUCUUCUCUGAUCUCUAACACCAACAAGGCAUUGACUACAUGUGACAUUGCAAGCCAAUUAAAUAACAUUUGUUCCCCAUUCUGAUGCUUGGUUUCAUGGUUACCUGACAAAAUACAUUGAAGAGCUGGUAUUUGUAAUGUAAUAUGAAUUGUCAUGGUGGAGGCUUUCAUCAGCAGAAAAAUC
ensembl:lncRNA